GACGAACGCUGGCGGCGUGCCUAACACAUGCAAGUCGAGCGUGGGAUUCAUCUUCGGAUGAUGAACUAGCGGCGGACGGGUGAGUAACACGUGGGCAACCUGCCUCAUAGAGGGGAAUAGCCUUCCGAAAGGAAGAUUAAUACCGCAUAAGAUUGUAGUAUCGCAUGAUACAGCAAUUAAAGGAGCAAUCCGCUAUGAGAUGGGCCCGCGGCGCAUUAGCUAGUUGGUGAGGUAAAGGCUCACCAAGGCGACGAUGCGUAGCCGACCUGAGAGGGUGAUCGGCCACAUUGGGACUGAGACACGGCCCAGACUCCUACGGGAGGCAGCAGUGGGGAAUAUUGCACAAUGGGGGAAACCCUGAUGCAGCAACGCCGCGUGAGUGAUGACGGUCUUCGGAUUGUAAAGCUCUGUCUUUGGGGACGAUAAUGACGGUACCCAAGGAGGAAGCCACGGCUAACUACGUGCCAGCCGCCGCGGUAAUAC
rnacentral:rRNA from 1 species